rnacentral:rRNA from 1 species
CCUACGGGAGACAGCAGUGGGGGAUAUUGGACAAUGGGGGGAACCCUGAUCCAGCGACGCCGCGUGCGUGAAGAAGUAUCUCGGUAUGUAAAGCUCUAUCAGCAGGGAAGAAGCAAUCACGGUACCUGAGUAAUAAGCCCUGGCUAACUACGUGCCAGCAGCCGCGGUAAUACGUAGGGGGCAGGCGUUAUCCGGAAUUGCGGGGUGUAAAGGGAGCGUAGACGGUGAUGUAAGACUGGAGUGAAAGGCGGGGGCCCAACCCGCGGACUGCUCUGGAAACUAUGUGACUGGAGUGCAGGAGAGGUGAGCGGAAGUCCUAGUGUAGCGGUGAAAUGCGUAGAUAUUAGGAGGAACACCAGUGGCGAAGGCGGCUCGCUGGACUGUAACUGACGUUGAGGCUCGAAAGCGUGGGGAGCAAACAGGAUUAGAUACCCUUGUAGUC